rnacentral:rRNA from 1 species
UGAGUACGAGAUGCUACGGCAUCGAAGCAGUCUAUGUCAUACUUCCAAGAAAAGCUUGCACUGUCAGAAACAGAUAAUGCCUGUACCAUAACCGACACAGGUGGGUAGGUAGAGUAUACUAAGGGGCGCGAGAUAACUCUCUCUAAGGAACUCGGCAAAGUGACUCCGUAACUUCGGGAGAAGGAGUGCCUUAUUUUUAAGGUUGCAAUAACAAGAUCCAAGCAACUGUUUACCAAAAACACAGGUCUCCGCUAAGUCGUAAGACGAUGUAUGGGGGCUGACGCCUGCCCAGUGCCAGAAGGUUAAAGAAGUCGGUUAGCAUUCGCGAAGCUGGUAACUGAAGCCCUGGUGAACGGCGGCCGUAACGAUAACGGUCCUAAGGUAGCGAAAUUCCUUGUCGGGUAAGUUCCGACCCGCACGAAAGGCGUAAUGAUUUGGAUACUGUCUCGGAGAGGGGCUCGGUGAAAUAGACUUGUCUGUGAAGAUGCGGACUGCCUGCACCUGGACAGAAAGACCCUAUGAAGCUUUACUGUAACUUGAAAUUGAAAUUGGACUUUAUUUGCGCAGUAUAGGUGGGAGGCGUUGAAAAUAUUCUUGCGGGAAUAUUGGAGCCAUCAGUGAGAUACCACUCUUGUAAUGUUAGAUUUCUAACUUUAUAUCAUUAUCUGGUUAAAGAACAGUUUCAGGCGGGCAGUUUGACUGGGGCGGUCGCCUCCCAAAUGGUAACGGAGGCGCACAAAGGUUUCCUCUGAACGGGUAGAAAUCGUAUCUAGAGUGUAAAGGCAUAAGGAAGCUUGACUGUGAGACCUACAAGUCGAGCAGGGACGAAAGUCGGUCUUAGUGAUCUGACGGUGCUGAGUGGAAAGGCCGUCACUCAACGGAUAAAAGUUACUCUAGGAUAACAGGCUGAUCUCCCCCAAGAGUUCACAUCGACGGGGAGGUUUGGCACCUCGAUGUCGGCUCAUCGCAUCCUGGGGCGGUAGUACGUCCCAAGGGUUGGGCUGUUCGCCCAUGAAAGCGGUACGCGAGCUGGGUUCAGAACGUCGUGAGACAGUUCGGUCCAUAUCCGGUGUAGGCGUUAGAAUAUUGAGAGGAGCCUUCUUUAGUACGAGAGGACCGAGAAGGACAUACCUCUGGUGUACCAGUUAUCGUGCCAACGGUAAACGCUGGGUAGCUAUGUAUGGAGUGGAUAACCGCUGAAAGCAUCUAAGUGGGAAGCCCACCUCAAGAUGAUUGCUCUCACAGGGUUAACCUGGUAAGGUCACGGGAAGACCACCCGUUGAUAGGCACUCGGUGGAAGUCCAGCAAUGGAUGAAGCC